GAAUUAGGGUUUGACGCUGGAGAGGGGGCUUGAGACAUGGCCACCACUACUAAUGGGGUAGGCAGCAGGGGCGUAAAUUACCCAAU
rnacentral:rRNA from 1 species